rnacentral:rRNA from 1 species
CUCUGGUNAUACGUCACAGUAUGACACAGUUACUGUCACAUCUCGUUCUUCUUUAACAACAGAGCUUUACGAGCCGAAACCCUUCUUCACUCACGCGGUGUUGCUCCAUCAGACUUGCGCCCAUUGUGGAAGAUUCCCUACUGCUGCCUCCCGUAGGAGUA